GACAACCAAAAUCCCCUUUCUCUACCUUUCUCUCCUCUCUACAGCUGUGGUUUGGAUAGGCGCGACCAUGGGUUAGGCAAGGGAGAGCACUGGAGAACACGGCAAUCUACUGAACCUCGUGAUGUAUGGCAGCUAGCUGUCGUGGCGAUGGGGUUGGAGGUUGGUGGCGCGGAGGAGGCGGUGACGCAUCUGACGGAGGGCGCACUGGUUCGCUGAGUUCCCGGACGAACUCGUGCGUGCUGAUCUUCCAAGCCGGUUGUACCAAAUCGAGUGGGCUGCAAGUGCGUUGUCUUGGAGGCCAUUUCUGACCGAGGCAUGGUCCGCGCGGUCAAGCUACUGCUGUUGCACCGGCCACCAGGGAGACCGCAUCUCGCGUCGCUAAUCUGGAAAGGCAGAUGCCGGUCACCGGGGAGGAGGGUGCGGGGACAAAGAAUUUUGGCGUUGCAUUGAAAGGCCUGUUGUUCCUUUUUCGUCCCAGGCUAAGGAAGAGCAACAGGGGUUAGAGCAUACGUUAUUUUCUUCAGUGGACAUUCAACCCAACUUAAAAUAUUGUUCCUUCAACACUUCUGUAGCAUGCAGGAUCAAUCAGUGAAGAAAAUUACGAAUGUAGUUAUUAAUCUUAGAGGAUUAGAUGUGCAUUUACCUUCUCAACUUCUCGGUCAAUUACAACAUCCCAAGCCCAUCAUCAGGCACAAUUUAUAGCAUAAGUUUUGUGUGACGAAGCUGAGAUUAUUAAUUUUUGAGAUUGAAUCUAAACAUAAGUCUUGUGCCACAUAUUUGGUCUAUAAUCUUUGGGUUUCUCAAGAUCUCUCAUCCAAUGAGCGGUGAGGGGUCUCACCGUAUGGAGUACUGAUUCAUGAAUUUCCUGGAAAAAAUCGUUCUACUGGGUUUAACCUUGUUGGUGUCGGGGCAUCAAUGCCAGGGCGGGGACUGGCAGAAAAUAAUGGCUGGCUAAUGGAGAAUGGUUGGAUCUGAGGCACAUGACAAAACGGGCACUGCGUCUAUGGUCCAUGUGAGGUAUGUGGUAACGGAGGCAGAUUCAUAUGUGGAGAUCAUGGGAUAAAUAAAUAACAGCAAAAUGUGAGCAGCGUGUGCAGGCGGCCUCUAAGUUGUUGCCCUCAUUGCUAGUGAUGUUGGACUCCUACCAAAUGUAAGUGCUGAUGAUAAGCAUCAUUCCUAAUGCAUAUUAUGCCUUGUAAUUCCUCCAAUAUAGCAUUGGAAAGUAUUCUAUUAUCUGUUGUUACCAUGUCGUAGCAAAAAGGCAUUAAUUUGUUAAUUUUAAUUUGGUUCAUAUGUGUCAGUCGACAUACAAUGGUUUUGUAUAUGUGUUGUAGGUGGUGCAUAUGAUACUGAAGAUCUAUACAUGAUUACUGGAAAGGUUGUGUGAGAUAUACAGGUUUUAGUACCCAGAACAAUAAACUGACAAAAGUGCAUGUCUUUCAAAAAAUUACAAUGUGAACUGCUUUUGAUAGUGCUAACAUUCACACCCUUGUAAUCAACUCCCUCCAUCCCAUACUAUAAGAUCGUUUUGCAAGCUGUUUUAGCCUAUAAAACGAUCUUAUAUUAUGGGAUGGAGGGAGUAAUAAAUAUCCUUCUUGUCAUGGACAUUCUCAAGCAGUGUUACUAUACCUUCAUAAAUAUCCUUCUUAUCAUGGACAUUGUCAAGUAGUGCUGAUGUAUCUUUGUAAAUACAUAUAGUCUGCCUUAUUAUUAAAUGAUAAGCUACUAAUGUACUAAUUUUCUAUUUAACUUCCUCAUCCUCCUUGUUUUUGUUUCGCCUGCUCGUAUAUUGGAACUUACCUGGAACCUCUUCAUUGUGGUAAAGUAAAUAUAAAUUUUAAAAACACAUUUCUAGAAAUCUAGAAGUGUACAUAAUGAUAAAAUUAAUCACCUUUAUAUCUGGAAUGUUUUGCUUGUUUAUUUAAUUAUUUAACACGGUGUCCACCUCAUCAUCCGUCAAUUCCUGUGCAAUAUAUGUAAGAUGAAUUAUAUAGGGAAUUCUAUAAUUAAAUGCACCUUUACCUCCUCAGCUUUACCCUGCAAGUAGAGUAUCUCUAGCCUACCAUCAUGCAUAAUUGUUCUUUUAAUUGCCAAAAGGUUAUAUUACUAUCAUUUAGCUUUAAUCCAAAUAUAAGUCUCCUAGCAAAAAGUUGUAUCAUCCAGCGGUUCAUCAGAUUUCCCAUCGACUGAGUUCAAUAAGCUAGAUGUACUAAGCAAUAUUGCAGCCUCCUCGUAAUAUAAAUUGCAGUUUGUAGUAGCUAUGUUGUCACUGAUUUGGAGUCAAGUAUGGUACCUACUGUACCAUUCAUGUUAAUCAAGAGUAAGUAUGAUAUAAUAGUUGUCCAUAUGAGUGAUAUGCUUACCUUGGUGUUACCCUUUUCUGAUAUAUACCACAACUCUUGCAAUAGGAUGUGUCAGUUUUCUUGGUAGCAAGUUUGUGACAAUCUUCACAUCACAUGUACCACCAUUGAAUAUCAUCUUGUAACUGAUCUAUUGUAGCUAUUGUUGUGAACACAAAAUUCUAAAUAUCUUAAAAACUCAAGAAAUUGAAAGACACAAAUAAGUCAACUAAAUCUCAUUAUAACUAACAUUACACGUCUCAGAGACUCGUUAUCCAGGAAGAGUAGUGAUAGCAUACAUUGGAACUCGUACCUGAUUUCUCCGGAUUCAUGUAUCACUCUAGUAAGUUCUUGUAAUGUUCUCCUCCUAUAAAACAUUUGUUCUUCUAGUGUUCCUUGAGUACUAUAUCUAUGCUGAUCAUUUUUAGUAAAGUUUUUUCUGCCGAAUGCCUAUGCAUAUGUGGAUUAAAUAAGAAUGAUUGAUCUUUGCUUCAGCUUGACUUUGAUGCAAGUACACUUAAAUUUUGAUCACAAUCAUUAUAAAUAUAAUCAGCGGUGCAGAUUUUUUUGUUAGCAUUGAUGGAUGUCAUGGAUCGGUUGCCUUCCUGGACCUCACAAUGUUGUUGCCUUCAAAACUAUCUUAAAAAGUAUUUUUUUAUUGACAGUGUAUGUAUGAAAGCUUAUUACAAAUUUAGACAUUUUUGUGGGAGAUUAGAAAUCAAGACUUGUUUAGAUGGAAACAUCUAAACACACAUGAGUCAGCAAAGAUAUUACCUAAACUAAUUUGAUGGCUUGUUAUCUGCCUUCUUAGGAUGCUGGGUGCUAAGACGGCAAGACGUCACAGGAGUGUACUGGAUGCAUCGUGUCUUUGAUCCUCCGGCAUGACGGACUGGAUAGCCUGCAGUCAUGGUUUCGAUCUACCGGGCGUUCGAGCAUCACUUGUGUGUUCAAACCCAUCAUGUUUCAACGCACGCAUUGGGUGUUUUCUCACCUUCAUGUGUUACGACAUCCUUGUGUAAUUGUGUUUGUAGAUGCCUAUGCUUGAAAGAAAUCAAUCAGGCCAUAUGAAAAUCAAGUAGAAAAUAAUUGACCAGAUUGUACUUUGCCUUUGAUAGACGUGCACGUGACGGACUUGUAUACAUCUAUUUAGGCAGGUUGACUGGUUCUAGUACAUGGAUCCGUAUAUGACGAUGAGUCCUGGCUUGCAUUGUAGUAGUACUUCUUUUUGACCUGCGUAUAUGUUGUGGUAGUAGUAGGAUAGGGUUCCAUAUCUGAUUCCGAUUGUAACUAAAAAAGGAUUGUUUAUUCCCCUUCAAAGAAAAAGGAUUGUUUAUUCUUGUA